rnacentral:lncRNA from 1 species
GAAAUAACUAUGUUCUCCAGGGAAUAGCUGAAUGCCCCAGAUAAUUUCUCCAGUUUUGAUUUAGCAAAAGGGUGAGUUAGCUAUGCCAUACUUCCUUUCUGGUUAAUGCCCACUAGUUCCAAACUAAAUAACCAUUUAACAAAACCCCAGCAACGUUAAUAACCUAAGUUACUUCUGGAAGCAUCACUCUCAGUUCCUGGAUUCUGGCUUCCCUCUGAUAACUAAAGUUAAUGUUUCAUUGUUAUUGCUCCAUCCCCCUGCAGCUCUAAUUACCAACACAGUAGAUUAUGCUGUGGGUUGACUUCUUCAUUAAAAGUAAAUAAAAUGAAAAGAAAAGAGAGCAUAGAAAAAACUUACACUGUAUUACAAAUUUUAUACCAGAAGUCAGGAAAUGGAACAUUUAAGAUUCUCAAGGCACGUGACUGUUAAUUUAUCUGCCCUGCAUCUGUGUUAAAAGAUGUUUCAGAUCUAAUCCUGAAUCCAAAAUAAUCAUCCAUAAUAUGGGUGAGUUAGUGUUAGCAUAAUUUAUCUUUUGAUUUUUUCAUUUCGUGAAUAAUAUUUAUGAGUGACUAUUCUGUGUACUCCUAAACAUUUAUGAGAGCCCAUUAUAUGCCAAGCACUGCAUUUUAUAUCUUUAUGUAUCUAAAACUUUAAUUUUUGCAAAACUCCUGCAAGAUGUUGUAUUAUUAUCUCUGUUUUACAGUUGAAGAAACAGGCUCAGAGUGGCUCAGAGACUUGCCUGAGGCCACACAGCUCAUAGGCAAUGGAGCUGUUGGGAAUUCAAAUCUGCUUGGCUCUAACCCUCCCCACCGUGCAGCCUCUCUCUAAGACCUAACCACAGCAGGGAUGCUCUAACAGCAACACAACUCAAUGAAAACAUUGAAGAUCUUCUUUAACAUAGGCAGGUAGAAUGAAAGGUAUCCUUCAUGCUGUCCUGUGGUCAAAGCAGAGAACAAGCCUCAGGAAGCUUAACAGUUUCAAUGAGCAAAAGAAACUGGUUCCCAACAGCAAACAGUAUCACCACAACAAAUUAUAUAUUUGCUUUAAAAUCAUUUCCCAUUUCUAAUGUAACUAUUCUCUCAAAAGGUCACAGCCCUGUGUCAAAUGUCACCAGACAAUAUGAUUGUAACAAUGUCGCAGGCUUCAGGGAACUGUUUCAUAAGAAAUCUCCUAUGUGGAUCCCUGGUGACACCGCUGUGAUGUGAGAUGAAGCGGGUUCAAGAGCAGAAGAAAAGACAGUAUUAUGAAGAGAAGUUACAGUGUCAAGAAGCUGACUCUAGAAUGUGAGGUGGAAAAUCAGGGACUUCAGAGUCAACAGGGCUGGGUUUAAACAUCAGCUUUACUGCUUACGAACAUUUGACCUUAAAUAACUUACUUAACCUCUAUGAGCCUUAGUUUCUGAAUCUAUGGAACAAGGACUAUAAUACAUGCCUCAUGAGACUAUCGAAAGGAUUAAAUGAGAUGAUACACCUGUAACGCUAACUGAAGCCACAAUCCAUGUCGUCCAGUUCCAGAGGAGGGCCAGAGACAAGGAAACAUGGAAAUCUGUAGCCUCAACGUCAUGGAAAAGCAAUUCCAAUUUUAUUCAAGUUUCUCAGCAUUAAAAAGAAUUCAAUCAUAAGCAUUGUAGUAUUUCUCAUAGCUGCUUGCUUCUUCUACUACUUCACCUGUAUCCCCAGUCUCUGGAGUUCCUCAUUCACCACAAUGCCAAAGAGCAUUCUCCACUCCUCCUCACCCUUCCUGUUGCUCCCACCCCAUCCCCCACCUAUCCAUUCCAUCUCUUUCCCAGUCCUUAUUAUAAAGGUGACUUAACCUCUUUCAAAAAGUCCUUUCUCUUCAACUCCAGUCUCUCUGGUUCUAUGUUUCUCUGGCCAUUCUGCAUCACAAGUAAAGAGAAACCAUUCUGAGGAAGACAGACCAGUGGAUUGUUCUGGGAGGUGAACACUGGCAGAGAAGGAAGUUUAAAUCAAACUGGAAAUCACAGGCUUUUUCCUUGUGGAUAUAGGAGGGUGAUGUGGCAGCGAAUCGA